rnacentral:rRNA from 1 species
AUUGAACGCUGGCGGCAUGCCUUACACAUGCAAGUCGAACGGCAGCACGGGAGCAAUCCUGGUGGCGAGUGGCGAACGGGUGAGUAAUAUAUCGGAACGUGCCCAGUAGUGGGGGAUAGCCCGGCGAAAGCCGGAUUAAUACCGCAUGAGACCUGAGGGUGAAAGCGGGGGAUCGCAAGACCUCGCGCUAUUGGAGCGGCCGAUAUCAGAUUAGCUAGUUGGUGGGGUAAAGGCCUACCAAGGCAACGAUCUGUAGUUGGUCUGAGAGGACGACCCAGCCACACUGGGACUGAGACACGGCCCAGACUCCUACGGGAGGCAGCAGUGGGGAAUUUUGGACAAUGGGCGCAAGCCUGAUCCAGCAAUGCCGCGUGCA